rnacentral:rRNA from 1 species
AACGAACGCUGGCGGCAUGCCUAACACAUGCAAGUCGAACGGGAUCCUAGCUUGCUAGGUGAGAGUGGCGGACGGGUGAGUAACACGUGGGAAUCUGCCUUUUUGGUUCGGGAUAACCGCGGGAAACUGCGGCUAAUACCGAAUGCCCUCGAGAGAGGAAAGAUUUAUCGCCAGAAGAGGAGCCCGCGUCCGAUUAGGUAGUUGGUGGGGUAAAGGCCUACCGAAGCCGACGAUCGGGUAGCUGGUCUGAGAGGAUGAUCAGCCACACUGGGACUGAGAUACGGCCCAGACUCCUACGGGAGGCAGCAGUGGGGAAUAUUGGACAAUGGGGCAACCCUGAUCCAGGCAAUGCCGCGUGAGUGAUG